rnacentral:tRNA from 1 species
GCGGGUGUAGUUUAGUGGUAAAACACCACCUUGCCAAGGUGGGGGUCGCGGGUUCGAAUCCCGUCGUUCGCU